rnacentral:SRP_RNA from 1 species
CGCCAAGCGCUGUACAACUUUAUAGUUAGACAAUCCUGCCAGGUCCGGAAGGAAGCAACAGCCUCUGAUUAAGAGUGUGAUACAGUUAGCUUGGCUUUU